rnacentral:rRNA from 1 species
AGUUCGGAUUGUAGUCUGCAACCCGACUACAUGAAGCUGGAAUCGCUAGUAAUCGCAGAUCAGAAUGCUGCGGUGAAUACGUUCCCGGGUCUUGUACACACCGCCCGUCACACCAUGGGAGUUGGAAAUGCCCGAAGCCAGUGACCCAACCGUAAGGAGGGAGCUGUCGAAGGUGGAGCCGAUGACUGGGGUGAAGUCGUAACAAGGUACC